rnacentral:rRNA from 1 species
GUGCACCAGGCCUAUAACCGGUACGGGCCGUGAGAGCGGGAGCCCGGAGAUGGGCACUGAGAUAAGGGCCCAGGCCCUACGGGGCGCAGCAGGCGCGAAAACUCCGCAAUGCGCGAAAGCGUGACGGGGUCACCCCGAGUGCCGUCCGCUGAGGAUGGCUUUUGCCUGGUCUAACCAGCCGGGUGAAUAAGGGGAGGGCAAGUCUGGUGUCAGCCGCCGCGGUAAUACCAGCUCCCCGAGUGGUUGGGACGAUUAUUGGGUCUGAAGCGUCCGUAGCCGGCCGGAAAAGUUCCCCGUUAAAUCUGGCGAUCCAAUCGUUGGGCUGCGGGGAAUACUCUUCGGCUUGGGGGCGAGGGAGGUCGGCGGUAGUCCCGGGGUAGGGGCGAAAUCCUAUAAUCCCGGGAGGACCUGCAGUGGCGAAGGCGGGUAGCCAGAACGCGCUCGACGGUGAGGGGCGCAAAGUGGAUUAGAUACCCGUGGAGUCC